CCUACGGGAGGCAGCAGUGGGGAAUAUUGCACAAUGGGGGAAACCCUGAUGCAGCGACGCCGCGUGAGUGAAGAAGAAUUUCGGGAUGUAAAGCUCUAUCAGCAGGGAAGAAAAGGACGGUACGUGAUUAAGAAGCCCCGGAUAACUACGUGCCAGCAGCCGCGGUAAUACGUAGGGGGCAAGCGUUAUCCGGAUUUACUGGGUGAAAAGGGAGCGUAGACGGCAGCACCAGUCUGGAGUGAAAUGCCGGGGCUUAACCCCGGAACUGCUUUGGAAACUUUGCAGCUAGAGUGCAGCCGAGGUAAGUGGCAUUCCUAGUGUAGCGGUGAAAUGCGUAGAUAUUAGGAGGAACCCCAGUUGCGAAGGCGGCUUACUGGACUGUAACUGACGUUGAGGCUCGAAAGCGUGGGGAGCAACCAGGAUUAGAUACCCUGGUAGUC
rnacentral:rRNA from 1 species